rnacentral:rRNA from 1 species
GAUUACCGCCAGACCACCCUGAAUACACGUGACCUCCGUCAGAUCUCGGAAGCGAAGGGCGGGUUUGAGGUCUGCGUUUGCACCUUUGUGUGGGAGACCGCCUGGGAAGUGCCAGGUGUCGCAAGCU